rnacentral:ribozyme from 2 species
UUAGAAACUCCGCCAUUGCCGGUCCCAAGCCCGGAUGAAAAAGGAGGAGGGUUGA